ACUGGCUUCCUAUCGGUGCUUAGA
rnacentral:miRNA from 1 species